GGGCGCGUAGCUCAGUUGGUUAGAGCGUCACGUUUACACCGUGGAUGUCCGGGGUCCGAAUCCCUGCGCGCCCA
rnacentral:tRNA from 1 species